AGUACAGGCUCACCUGCUGCAGACACAGCCGCACUACAUCUGUCAGCUCCUGGGACUCCUGGAAGUACAGGCUCACCUGCUGCAGACACAGCCGCACUACAUCUGUCAGCUCCGGGGACUCCUGGGAGUACAGGCUCACCUGCUGCAGACACAGCCGCACUACAUCUGUCAGCUCCUGGGAGUACAGGCUCACCUGCUGCAGACACAGCCGCACUACAUCUGUCAGCUCCGGGGAGUACAGGCUCACCUGCUGCAGACACAGCCGCACUACAUCUGUCAGCUCCGGGGAGUACAGGCUCACCUGCUGCAGACACAGCCGCACUACAUAUGUCAGCUUCGGGGAGU